UACGUAGGGGGCAAGCGUUGUCCGGAAUCAUUGGGCGUAAAGAGCGUGUAGGCGGCUCGGCAAGUCCGCUGUGAAAGUCCAGGGCUCAACCCUGGAAUGCCGGUGGAAACUGUCGAGCUAGAGUCCGGAAGAGGCGAGUGGAAUUCCUGGUGUAGCGGUGAAAUGCGCAGAUAUCUGGAGGAACACCGGUGGCGAAGGCGGCAUCCUGGACCAAAACUGACGCUGAGGAGCGAAAGCAAGGGGAGCAAACGGG
rnacentral:rRNA from 1 species